rnacentral:rRNA from 1 species
AACGCAUUAAGUGCCCCGCCUGGGGAGUACGGCCGCAAGGCUAAAACUCAAAGGAAUUGACGGGGGCCCGCACCAGCGGCGGAGCAUGCUGAUUAAUUCGAUGCAACGCGAAGAACCUUACCAAGGCUUGACAUGCACUGGACGGCUGCAGAGAUGUGGCUUUCUUUGGACUGGUGCACAGGUGGUGCAUGGUNGUCGUCAGCUCGUGUCGUGAGAUGUUGGGUUAAGUCCCGCAACGAGCGCAACCCUUGUUCUAUGUUGCCAGCACGUGAUGGUGGGGACUCAUAGGAGACUGCCGGGGUCAACUCGGAGGAAGGUGGGGACGACGUCAAAUCAUCAUGCCCCUUAUGUCUUGGGCUUCAAGCAUGCUACAAUGGUCGGUACAAUGGGUUGCGAAACUGUGAGGUGGAGCGAAUCCCAAAAAGCCGGCCUCAGUUCGGAUUGGGGUCUGCAACUCGACCCCAUGAAGUCGGAGUCGCUAGUAAUCGCAGAUCAGCAACGCUGCGGUGAAUACGUUCCCGGGCCUUGUACACACCGCCCGUCAAGUCACGAAAGUCGGUAACACCCGAAG